GUGCCAAUCACUGAGUUUUGGCCAAUCAUAAGUAGCCAGCUGUUUGAACCAUGUUCAAAUAAGGCAAACACCAAGCUAUAACCAAUCCAGUUGUUUCUGUACCUCACUUCCAUUUUCUGUUUGCACCUCACUAUUUUUUUUCUGUUUGUAAAUCUUCUUCCACCGCAUGGCUGCACUGGAGUCUCUGAGCCUCCGCUGGCUCAUAAGGCUGCUGGACUCAUGAACUGUUCAUUACAAAAUUAAUGUUUUAAAAAUUUAAUUCAGGUGAAGUUUUUCUUUUAUCAGAUGGUGUCAGAAGCAGGGUCCCAAGUAGAGCUUCUAACAAACCCUAGGAGUCCUGGGCGACCAAAGCGAGGUAGCUGCAGAACCCAUUUGUGUCCAUUGAUCUCUUGGAGCAGCUGGGGAUCAUGCUAUGAGCGACAGGAUUAGGCAUGAAUAGGACCAUGGAACAUGGAGAACUUUUUCUCUUAAAAAAAGAAAACUUGAGAGCAGAUGUGACUGCUGGAAAAGAUCCCUUCAUGACCGACAAGCAGCUGCCUGAAUUUUUAAUUCAGUAUUGCAUUGGCAUUUCCUUCUUUUUGAGAAUCCAGGAUGUGAUAUAAAAAUGGGGCCAUUAAUUUUGGAAAACUUUGUCUUCCAAAGAAGCCUGCUUAUUAGGCCCUAAGAACUGCAUGACUUUCCUGGCCCUGUUCCCUGAAGAACUCCACCGUGACACCAGUAAUCCAAUUAAGAAACUUAAAAACUGGCAAAUAAAAAAAUCUUACAACUUCUGGAUCUUCAUCUGUCUGUCUGUGUAGUUAUAUAUGUGUUGUAUAUGUGACGUUCAUAUAAAAAAGCUCUAAUUAAUUGGCUUGAAGAAAAAUAAGCACUUAAAUCAAAUAUUUUGAAAGAAAAAUGAAAACUGUAAAGCCUUUUAGUUCAUGUGACUUUAGUAGCCUUUGGAAAAUAAAAGCAGUUUUAAAAAGAUUAUCGGUAAAAUAAAAACACUUGGUCUAAGUUAGGCAAGUCAG
rnacentral:lncRNA from 1 species